rnacentral:lncRNA from 1 species
GGCGGGGGCGGGCCGGAGAGGGGCGGGCUCUGGACCUCGGGUUUUGGCGCUCCUCCGCACCCCGCUGUCUGCCCGUGAAGUUUCAGCCCUGUGUUUAAAGAAUAACCCCAAGCGCGUGGCUUAGUGUGAGCGAACGUGUGUGACGUCGGGAGGCGCCGUGGCUUAACCGAACCGCCCCACUCGACUGUCCCUUGUCUGGACCAAAACUGCUGACUGAUUGACCCUGGCGGUCACAUUUGCCCUCUGGGGUUUUUGGAAACCCUAAAUCAAAGUUGCUUUUCUCCCUGGCAACUCGCACGGCUGCUUCCGCGGCCUCUGGGCCGAGAACAGAUAAGGACGCGAGUUUCCCCGACCAGGAAAUGAAUAAAGCAAAUAACAGUGCUGUGAGUAACUGCAGUAUUCAUCAGGGCAAUGCAAUCUAUUUGGAAGCAGAGGCCAUGGUGCUUAGUAGAGAGCAACCUUGCUCAACUGCAGCAUGAAGAAGGGCUGUGCACUCUGCCUUGAAGAAAGAAAAGGUAAGAACAUGUAAGAAAAGUGCACGGAAUGUACAUUUCCAUAGCACUUUUAAUCUGAGAAUCCUAGGGCUUUACUGAAUCAUGAAUCUAAACUCACAGCACUGCAACACUUGUCAAGGCCGGCUAUCAGGAUUUCACUAGAAUAACAGUCUCAGUAGGAACACAGAUAGAGUCUGAAAAUAGUAGACCAAGUUAUGGGUAGAAAACAGAAAAC